rnacentral:rRNA from 1 species
CCUACGGGAGGCAGCAGUAAGGAAUAUUGGUCAAUGGACGAAAGUCUGAACCAGCCAUGCCGCGUGAAGGACGAAGGUCCUCUGGAUUGUAAACUUCUUUUAUCUGGGACGAAAAAAGGGAAUUCUUUCUCACUUGACGGUACCAGAGGAAUAAGCACCGGCUAACUCCGUGCCAGCAGCCGCGGUAAUACGGAGGGUGCAAGCGUUAUCCGGAUUCACUGGGUUUAAAGGGAGCGUAGGUGGGUCUGUAAGUCAGUGGUGAAAUCUCCGAGCUUAACUCGGAAACUGCCAUUGAUACUAUAGGUCUUGAAUUAUCUGGAGGUAAGCGGAAUAUGUCAUGUAGCGGUGAAAUGCUUAGAUAUGACAUAGAACACCGAUUGCGAAGGCAGCUUACUACGGAUAUAUUGACACUGAGGCUCGAAAGCGUGGGGAUCAAACAGGAUUAGAUACCCUGGUAGUCCACGCCCUAAACGAUGGAUACUCGACAUCAGCGAUACACUGUUGGUGUCUGAGCGAAAGCAUUAAGUAUCCACCUGGGAAGUACGACCGCAAGUUGAAACUUCAAANAGAGUUGAGNGNGAGAGNGCGAGACGACGACGAGGAGGAGG